UUUCUCUUAACCUUAACCUUGGAACAUAAAUUAUGUUGAUUAACUUUAAUUCUUAUCCAAUUAAUCAAAUUUAUUUAAUCUGUAAUUUAAUCAAUCGAUCGACUAAUCAGCUUAAUGAAGCAAAUUUAAAUUCAUCAAAAAGCUUAAAGUGUUUGUCUUGACUUGAUCUAUGGAACAUAAUUAUGGAUCUUUGCUGCAUUUAUCUCCACUUCUCUUUGUCUUCAUUGUCACUUACACCUUGACCCAGUUGACUUUGGAUUCUUAUAUAUUAAGAGGGAACAAUUAGAUUUAAUUGUAAUCACAAUGAUUUAAAAAGCGGCGAUGGUACCAAAGAUACACCUUUAAAAUGAACAACAUCAUCAACGGUAUCACUUAAGUAUAAGAGAAAUCAGCAACAAUUACACUUGAAAGAUUCAUGAUUAGUCUAAAUUGAUUAUGUCUCUUUGAGAUACAAUUUGUAUUCUCGUUACAUCCUAUGUAUAUGUGCUCAAUAUGGCGAUGAUUAAAUGGUGAUGUUUAUAAAUUGCUGGUAAAAAGAGUGACGAUUGGAAUCAAUGGGAAUAUUAUCAUCUCACAUUAUUUGGAAUUAAUUGUAAUUGUGAAUAACUGGAUAACCUCGAUUCAAUCAAUAGAUUGCAAACUAAUCAUUUAUUUCCUCGUCUUAAAGUUAAUCCUCUUGUUAUGUAUAUUUAUUGACCAGAUUAAUGAAUUAUUGAUACACUUGGAUGGAGAUUAAAUGUUUCAAGGAUAAAUUAUGAAUAAACAAGGAGAGAAAAACAAAAGUCAAGGAAACAAUUAACAUCUAAUAAUAAUCAUGUAUUCAUGAGAAAUUAACUUUAAUCAUCAUCAUCUCAUUAGUUAUUAUUGCAAGAGUUGAAUUGAUUGUUUCUUGCUUAUUGUUACUACUAAUUUAUUUCUACACUUAACAAUCUUUGAUUGAACAACAAUCAAUGGUUCACUGGUCCCAAUCAACUAAACAACAAGAACAUGAGCAAAAAAAUUGAUAUUUAAAAUCAUCAACAGAUUAUUAACCUUCACCAACAAUUAAGAUCAUAAUGAUUUAAAAGGUUGAUAGACUUUAUUUCUUGUUACUUAAUUCAUUCAAUCAAAGAAACGUACACAACAAUUAACAGUUUAUUUCCUAACCAGCUAAUCAACAAUGGAAAUGAAUUGAACAUAUUCUUAAACAAUCAACCAAGGAAAAGGAAAAAGCUAAUCACAAUUAACCUUCAAAUUGAUUUCACAAUCAAGAUGAUUAUCAAAUAUUUAAUUACUGACAAUCUUCAAAUGAAUACACAAAUAUUAAGAAAAUGUUUUGGAUAGUUAAUUGUUGACCAAUAAUUGAUCAAGUGUGUGUAUUUAUGAUUAAUCACAAUAACUAAUCAUCAACAAUUAACCUAAAAAUUAACUUAAAUCCCUUAAUUGUCAAUGAUAAAAGUAAAACAAACAUCGUUCAAUGUCAAAUAAUUAAAAUUUCAAUUCCAAUGAUUAGAGGUUUUAAUUAACUGAUAAUUGAUAACUUUUUGAAACAGUUUUUACCUUACGAUUUAAUUAAUUACCAAGCUGACAAUUAACUAAGAUGUUUGAUGAUUUAAUUGAGACAAAAAUCUAUAAAUAAACUAACCAUUAAAUCAUUAAUAAUUCAGGUUUCUUGUUUUAUUGAUUCUCAAUCAAUUUUAAUUCAGUUAAAUUUGCUUUGGUUGAUUUGGAUUUUUUGUUUCUUUGAUUACUUUCAAUUCAAAUUAAUUAUCUCUCACAUUUAUGAGAAUGUUGAUUAAAUUAAAGGUUGCAAUUAACAGAUAUUCAAUUGAAUCAAUAAUAAAACAAAAUGAAAAUAAUGUAAAAAGAUAA